rnacentral:rRNA from 1 species
GCUUGUCUCAAAGAUUAAGCCAUGCAUGUCUUAGUGUAAAUAACUCUUAUGAAACUGCGAAUGGCUCAUUAAAUCAGUUAUCGUUUAUUUGAUGGUCCCUUACUACAUGGAUAACCGUAGUAAUUCUAGAGCUAAUACAUGCACAAAGGCCCGACUCACGAAGGGCUGUAUUUAUUAGAUUUAAAGCCGACAUCUUUUGGUGAUUCAUAAUAACUUUUCGAACCUCAUGCCUUUAUGGUGGAGGUGAUUCAUUCAAAUUUCUGCCCUAUCAACUUUCGAUGUUUGGGUAUUGGCCAAACAUGGUUGCAACGGGUAACGGAGGGUUAGGGCUCGACCCCGGAGAAGGAGCCUGAGAAACGGCUACUACAUCCAAGGAAGGCAGCAGG